AUGUGGUUUAAUUCGAUGAUACGCGNGNNNCCUUNCCAAGACUUAAAUGGGAAAUGACAGGUUUAGAAAUAGNCCCUUCUUCGGACAUUUUUCAAGGUGCUGCAUGGUUGUCGUCAGCUCGUGCCGUGAGGUGUUAGGUUAAGUCCUGCAACGAGCGCAACCCCUGUCACUAGUUGCUAACAUUUAGUUGAGGACUCUAGUGAGACUGCCUACGCAAGUAGAGAGGAAGGUGGGGAUGACGUCAAAUCAUCACGGCCCUUACGUCUUGGGCCACACACGUAAUACAAUGGCCGGUACAGAGGGCAGCUACACAGCGAUGUGAUGCAAAUCUCGAAAGCCGGUCUCAGUUCGGAUUGGAGUCUGCAACUCGACUCUANGAAGCNGGAAUCGC
rnacentral:rRNA from 1 species